GUAGCCUGUAAAAAAGUAGUGAAUGAUGAUAACGGAAAUUCUAUCCAAGAAAAAUAAACUUACAAAAGCCAAAUUUCAUAAAAGGUUUAAGUAGACGAGUAAAGCAUUAGUUAAAAACAACAAAUAGAUUAUUAAAGGAGCAGCUAAAUAUAAAACAGAAAAGAGGUGAUUGAUGAAAUUACAUUUCGUGUCUGGGUAGUUCGAUUCCUGCCUGAGGCUAUAACCUUGCCAUCCUCAACAAUUACACAUCUGGCAACAAAUACAAUAGGUGGCAUAAAGAGAGUAAAGCAUAGCAGCAAUAAUGCUCCAAUGAAGUGUUCAAAUAAAUAGUAUGAAAUUGUGAAGGAAACUUACCCAACAGGCACUUCAAGAACAUCCAAAGCUAACUUUGCCUGUCACAUAAAGUAGAGCAAUAGGGCUCAGGCACAGCUGGGUCUCAUUGCUGGGUUCAGUAGGAACGGGAGAAGGCCAGUGCUCCGGCGGCGUCGAGUGGAGGAGGCCCUUCUGGUUCAGCUUCGGAAGGGUUCAGUCUGUGGUGGUGUUGAGGUUAAGGGGAAGGAUGUGACAAUUUUUAGGGAUUUGGGUGGGAUGAAGAAUGUUAAGGAGGAACUGAAUAUGUUGCUCUUGCCGAUCUACCAUCCCCAUGUGGCUAACUAGACUGGCUCAUGCUAUCGCUAAUGAAACUCGACUCCCUUUUUAUUCCAUUUCAGUUACCCAAGUGGUCUCUGGAUUCUCAGCUAGGUGAAUCUCAAGAAAAUAUUAGAGACCUUUUCUCUAAAGCAUACAGGACUGCUCCAUCGAUCAUAUUUAUUGAUGAGGUUGAUGCAAUUGCUUUGAAAAGAGAGAAUCUAUCACAGAUGGAGCUACUAAUAGGCCCCAUGCCAUUGACCCCGCCCUUAGAAGACCUGGAAUAUUUGAUUGUAAGAUUUUAAUUGGCAGGCCCUAUGAAUCUUCCAGGGAGGAAAUCCUUUCCGUGAUCACUUGCAAUGUUAAACUUCAGGGUCCGACUGAUCUACCUAAGAUAGCUAAAUCUACAAAAGCAUUUACUGGCUCUGAUUUGAAAAGUUUGAUCGAGCAUGCUGGUAAAUUGGCGAUGAGGAGAAUAACAUAUCCAGAGGACUGCUUUAGGGAACCUUUCUUGCCAGAAGAAGUGGACAAGGCUGCCAUCAAAAUGUCUGAUUUGGAGGUUCUCUAGAUUUGUUUCAUUAAUAUUAUUAUUAGACCUAUAUUGUAAGUUGCCCCGUCACAUUUGUUAUUUGUUAAUACCAAUAUUUGCUAUCCUAUGUUUAGGACAGAUUUAUUCAAAAAGUAGAAGAGGAAUUUUUAAACAAUACUAAUGUUGAACUUGGUGUCAUUCCUUCUAGGAUGUGGGUAAUCCUUUCAGAUCUUCACUGUCAAUUGCUGCCUCUUCUAAAGAUUCCAUUUACUAACAUCAUAAGUCAUAAUGUAGCUUGGUGAUGAAUGUGCAGAGUUAGAGGUGUGUAUGAACUGCAUCUUUGGUAGGAACUAGGAACUAGGAAGCAAAUAUAUAGUAAAACAACCAUUAAUGGAGUUCAGAUAUGCAAACCUAAUUUCAGGAAUUGAUGUACAGAAAGUCAAUGCUAUGAAAUAAAACAUAAACGUCAAUGAUAGACUCAUAGUGUAUGAAAGUGUAAUGCUUACUUGCUUUGUUAUGCCAAUUGUCAAAUAGUUAUAAAUGCACUCCUUUAUGGACAAUAUGCAGCUUCUAACAAGCUUUAUAGUGAUCAUAUACAUGAAUUUCACAUGCAUCAGACUUCCUGACUUCUGUUAGACUGGAAUAUAUAUAUAUAUAUAUAUAUAUAUAUAUGGUAGUGUUUAUUUUUGUAAGUUUGUGUGUGUGUGUGUGUGUGUGUAUGAGGGCAGUCUAUAGGCAAGUGAAUUGAUAGAUAUAUGUGAGAAAGAAAUCUCAUGGGAUCCAUGGCAGUUAGGGUACUGGCAGCAGCAAUAUGUAUAGGUUUUUGAGGGAGAGUGAGGUGUGAUGAGGGAGGAACUAACUGCCAUGGAUCCCACAGAAAUUAUUUCUCAAAUGUCUAUCACUAUUUUGUUCACUUGGUUAUAUGUAACUGUAGAGAUGUGACUUGGGGAAAGGAUUGAUGUAGGAUCUAGUAUAGUUUAUUUAUUUUUGUUGCCGGUACAGCUGUACAACUGACACGAUUGCAAGAUGUAUCAAAUCCAAUUUUAUUUCUAUUUCUUUCUUAACUCAAUUCAUUUUGGCCUCUUUUCUCUCUUCAAAUUCUUCUAUCAAUCUAGUUGUCAAAAUUUGAGUGAAGAACCUCUGUAUCUGAUUACAUCUAUUAGCUUGUUUCUGUCAUGUUCCAGAGUAUAUAGAGCAACCUUACAAUUGGAUUUGCUCAGUGUUGUUAAAUAGCAGCUAUAGCGGUGCUAUAGCAAUAUUGCAACUUGCAAGGUAGAUCUGCAAUAACGACUCUAUCUGCUAUUACGUCCGCUAUGGGUAUUGUGGUUGCAGAAUGCAUGCUGCAUCCUCUUGUUGCCUCUGGCAAGUCUCAUGCCACUUGAACUUUUGAGUUAAUAUUAUGCCAAUUUUUAUGCAUUUUAUUUUUAUUUGCAUACAACUUAAUAAUUAUACAUAUAUAUUUGAUUUGAUAUAUAUAUCAUAUAUUUCAACUGCCAAGCAACUUUCGCUAUUUGCCCAUGAUGCUAUCCGCUAUAUGAUAUAGUGGAUUAUUGGUUUUCUGCCAUUUUCCACAAUCCACAAUUGAUAGCACUGGAUCAGCUUCCUUACCUGUGUAAUUCUAUACUUUUUACAAAAAUCUCUAAUAAAUAAUUUGGUGUGUAUUCUCCAAUUCUCUUACUAUAUUUUAUUUCCGUACUUUAAAAUUUGUUAUAUUGAUUUUUGUCUUUGCUGUUUCAUGAAUUAUUUGGGCAAGUUGUAUAUCACAGGUUGAUCCUAAUCAAUAUUAUUUGGAAUUGUUCAUUUCAGGGUCUUGGGAUGGAUCUUACAACAAGAUUUUUGCUUUAUGGACCUCCAGGUUGUGGAAAAACACUGAUUGCCAAAGCUGUUGCCAAUGCUGCAGUUGCUAGUUUUUGUCAUAUUAAGGGACCUGAACUUUUCUAGAUCCAUAUGUUGGAGUAAGUGAGCAAAAAGUUCGGGCAAUGUUCAACGAUGCAAAGGCAUGUGCACCUUUUAUACUAUUUUUUUGAGGUGGAUGGGUUACUGAACGAUUAUUGAACCAGUUGCUUAUUGAGUUAGAUGGCGCAGAUCAACAGCAACAAAUAGGUUUAGUAGACUUCUUUACAUUCCUCUCCCAAAUCCAGGCCAGCGGGUUUUAAUAUUGAAAGCUCUUUCAAGAAAGUAUCGUGUUGACGCCAGUACGGAUUUUAGUGCCAUAGGAAGAUCGGAAGCUUGUGAAAAUAUGAGUGGUGCCGAUCUUGAUUUAUUGAUGGAAGAAGCUGCAAUGACUUUUGUUAAAGGGAAUGGGGCCUCAAAUGAUGGUAUCAAGCCAUGCCAUUUAGAAGUAGCACUAACUAGAAUCUUUCCCUGUGUCUGAAAAGGAAGGUGACACCUUUAAUUUCCUAGUCUUUGUCUCGUACAAAGACAUAUGGGUGGGGGGUUUUCAAAUCAGAUGUCAAAUUAAUUAAUAUAUAGGGGUGAGGACAUCAUGACAUAGCUAGAAGAGAACAACAUGAAGGGCAGGUGCUUGUUUUGGGCAACAGAUGUUGAGACACACUGUGACGAGCCAGAGGCUGUAAUUGCAAUGGUGAAGCAUUAAUAUUAAUUUUGUAUGCUUAGGAUAGAUAAUUAUGGAAACUGACGUGUGCUAAUGGAUGUUACGCGUACUGUAUGGAGAAGCUGAUUCAAAAAAGCCAAUUGUGGGAUACGUAGGCUUCUUUUUUUUGGUAGCUCAACGCCUACUUUUACAACUCAACGUUACUCCAAGGAAAUUAAGUUUUGAGCAGACAGAGGUAGCUCUAGCUGGAGGAAUUAAUUAAGAUUAGAUGUAUUUAUAAUGUGUUGAGAUAAUCCCAACAAGAACGUCACUGUGAAAGUAGUGUGAUGGCUUCCCAUGGAUGUUUCAAUGAGUAUGAUGCAUGUUUAAUGAACAAGUGCAUAAAAAUGAAUUGAAAGGCAACAAAAGUUGGUACAAUCCCUACUACCUACACCAUGCAUGAUGCAUCUGGUCUCAUAUUUACAGUGCUGAAGGUACAGAUUAAUGUACCAGUUUGCGGUUUUUUCUAUAUCUGAAAAAAGGUGUACCGAUCGUUGCACUUUGAUGUUGUUGUCGUUGUCUUCAUUCAACGUCGCUAGUGGUUGCAGUGAUGUGGCGGUGGUGCGGUGUAGUUGAUUGUCGUUGUGAUGUGGUGGUUCAUCGAUGUUGUGUGGUGGGUCGUCGGUGCAGUGUUCCUCCACGCGGGGAUGCUAGUGUCGUACCCAGGGAUGUUGUCAUACCCUUAAAUUACAUCAUAUAAGUUACAAUUUGAUAUCUUAAAUUUUUUAAUUACAGAAAUAAAAGGUUUAUCUCAAAUAUUAAGCA